rnacentral:rRNA from 1 species
UACGAAGGGUGCAAGCGUUGUCCGGAAUCACUGGGCGUAAAGGGCGCGUAGGCGGCUUGGUAAGUAGGGGGUGAAAUCUCACGGCUCAACUGUGAGGCUGCCUUCUAGACUGCCGAGCUUGAGCACAGUAGAGGCUGGUGGAAUUCCCGGUGUAGCGGUGGAAUGCGUUGAUAUCCACAGGAACUCCGGUGGCGAAGGCGGCACGCUGGACCCCAUCUGACGCUGAGGCGCGAAAGCCAGGGGAGCGAACGGG